GACGAACGCUGGCGGCGUGCCUAAUACAUGCAAGUCGAACGCAGUGGGGACGGGUGAGUAACACGUGGGUAACCUCCCAUCAGAGGGGGAUAACACUUGGAAACAGGUGCUAAACCGAUACUGAUGGAUGGACCCGCGGUGCAUUAGCUAGUUGGUGAGGUAACGGCUCACCAAGGCCACGAUGCAUAGCCGACCUGAGAGGGUGAUCGGCCACACUGGGACUGAGACACGGCCCAGACUCCUACGGGAGGCAGCAGUAGGGAAUCUUCGGCAAUGGACGAAAGUCUGACCGAGCAACGCCGCGUGAGUGAAGAAGGUUUUCGGAUCGUAAAACUCUGUUGUUAGAGAAGCGGUAUCUAACCAGAAAGCCACGGCUAACUACGUGCCAGCAGCCGCGGUAAUUC
rnacentral:rRNA from 1 species